rnacentral:rRNA from 1 species
UUUCAUGAGGGUUUGAUCCUGGCUCAGGACGAACGCUGGCGGCGCGCCUUACGCAUGCAAGUCGAACGGACCUUCGGGUUAGUGGCGGACGGCUGAGUAACGCGUAGGUAACCUACCCAGUGGUGGGGAAUAACUCGCCGAAAGGCAAGCUAAUACCGCAUAAGUUCCCGGUUUGAAAUGGCCGGGAGGAAAGCAUUUAUGCGCCACUGGAGGGGCCUGCGUCCUAUCAGGUAGUUGGUGGGGUAACGGCCUACCAAGCCGAUGACGGGUAGCUGGUCUGAGAGGACGAUCAGCCAGAAGGGGACUGAGACACGGCCCCUACUCCUACGGGAGGCAGCAGCGAGGAAUCUUGGGCAAUGGGCGAAAGCCUGACCCAGCGACGCCGCGUGAGGGAUGAAGGCCUUCGGGUCGUAAACCUCUUUUGUGAGGGAAGAAGUUCUGACGGUACCUCACGAAUAAGCCACGGCUAACUACGUGCCAGCAGCCGCGGUAAUACGUAGGUGGCGAGCGUUGUCCGGAUUUACUGGGCGUAAAGCGCCCGCAGGCGGCUCAUCAAGUCUAGGGUGAAAUCUCUCGGCUCAACCGGGAGCGGUCUCUGGAAACUGAUGGGCUUGAGAGGAGCAGAGGAGAGUGGAAUUCCCGGUGUAGCGGUGAUAUGCGUAGAUAUCGGGAGGAACACCAGUGGCGAAGGCGGCUCUCUGGGCUCUUUCUGACGCUGAGGGGCGAAAGCGUGGGGAGCAAACCGGAUUAGAUACCCGGGUAGUCCACGCCGUAAACGUUGGGCACUAGGUGUGGGAGGUAUUGACCCCUUCCGUGCCGCAGCUAACGCGAUAAGUGCCCCGCCUGGGGAGUACGGCCGCAAGGCUAAAACUCAAAGGAAUUGACGGGGGCCCGCACAA